CACGAGGGUCUCACUGUCUUAAGGAAAUUUCCAGUGAAAUUGAAUUUGUAGUGAAGAUGCUACAUCCAAAUUGUUAGACAAGAAGUCCCCAUGGAACUUUACUGGAAACUUAUGUGGCUUAAAUUAAUUUAUUUCUUACAAAUAAAUAGUUUUUAAAUGUGGUGUUAACCUCUCGGAUUAACGAGGGUUAGAAAAGCUCACUCUUUUAUUUUAAGAAAGCCAACUCAAAAUUUUAUGUCUUUGGGAUUUGAUAAGUGGGACAGUUUGGUUGGGGCGACCGCCUUUAAAAAAGUAACGAAGGCGGGCUUAAGAUAUAUUUUUAGUUAUGUCUGACUGCCAAGGGGGAAUCCUGAGCAGGCACUUACUUUUUAGGUGGGUUUAAGUGACCCGUUAAUUUAGGGUGAAAUAGUUAACGAUAAGCA
rnacentral:rRNA from 1 species